GUAGAGAAACUCAAAAGAAACAAAGAAAAAAUAUUGACGUAAUACAUACAAUUUGGCAGAGUUUCAAGGUUUUCAGCUUCUUCGAGUUCGCUUGUCAAUUUCACGUACAACUACAGUGAAAUCACUUCCAUCUGGAAUUUGUACAUGUUUGGAGUUGCUUCUUAUCUCAUCAUGUUAUAAUAGCUUUACAUGGCAUAAAAAUCUUGAUUCAAUUAUAAUUCAGUCACCAAAACUCAAUCAUCAUAUUCCUUGUAUUUGUGAAAGCUAGACCAAAAUAUAAUACAAAAUUUUGUCUUUUGGCAGAGUCUUGCGGUUCUCAAUUUCUUCAAGAUAACCUAUCCUGAUUUCAAGGGUGCCAGCGUCUUCAAGAUAAGUUGGCCGGAAAAUUUUGGUUGUCCAACAUUGCACGGGAGUAGAACGAACAUUUGAUAACAAGUGCCAAUUUAACAGAAAAAGAGUCUAAGGCACAGAGCUUAUCCCAGGGGCAUUGUUGGCAAAGGCAAACUUGUGCCUAUUUUAGUAAUUGCCGAAGACAAAAGCAUUAAAAAGAAGAACGAAUGGCUGGAGUUGGGAGCUUCUUCUUCCUCCGGAGUCCUCUCCGCAAGGGAGGGCGCCGCACAAAGCCGCCGCGCAGGAGACUACUUGGAAGCUUUAGUUUUUUUACUUUUCUUUGGUUGCUUGUCCUUCUGGCAUGGCGGGUCCUCUUUGUUUUCUCCAUUUCCUUAGUUUUUAGAACUUUGACUUUUCUUCUAAAGAGAGCAUUGAGUAGCCGUUUUCCUUCUGGAGGUGUCAGACCAAAGGAAGACUAUGAAUUACCCUUUGUAGCUUUCUUUCUUUAUUGAGUAAACGAAUUGAAUUCACCCAGCUUUCCAAUUGAUUUCCGCAGCCUUCGCUACAAUUUCUGGUGGGUUUAGUUCAGCAAUUAUGAACUAAUUUUUC